rnacentral:rRNA from 1 species
UGGGGAAUUUUGGACAAUGGGGGAAACCCUGAUCCAGCCAUCCCGCGUGUGCGAUGAAGGCCUUCGGGUUGUAAAGCACUUUUGGCAGGAAAGAAACGUCAUGGGUUAAUACCCCGUGAAACUGACGGUACCUGCAGAAUAAGCACCGGCUAACUACGUGCCAGCAGCCGCGGUAAUACGUAGGGUGCAAGCGUUAAUCGGAAUUACUGGGCGUAAAGCGUGCGCAGGCGGUUCGGAAAGAAAGAUGUGAAAUCCCAGAGCUCAACUUUGGAACUGCAUUUUUAACUACCGGGCUAGAGUGUGUCAGAGGGAGGUGGAAUUCCGCGUGUAGCAGUGAAAUGCGUAGAUAUGCGGAGGAACACCGAUGGCGAAGGCAGCAUCCUGGGAUAACACUGACGAUCAUGCACGAAAGCGUGGGGAGCAAACAGG